AGGGCGGGAUGGGGUGGAUUGCAGCGAGAUUAGAUUGGCUCUCUCCGAUGAAAAUAUCUCCCCCCUCUCUCCCUGGUCCACUUCUCCGUGCUGCUGCCGCCGACGCCUCCGCUUCCCCCGUUCCUCGCGGCCGCCUCGUCCCCUCCGCCUUCAGCAGCUCCUCCUCCCCCAUCCUCUCCGCCUCCAGCACCUCCUCCUCCCCUUCCUCUCCUCCUCCCCUGCCCCCGAAGCCAGACCACGUGACGUCGAUAAGGAGAGGCAGGCGGUUCUCCUUCCAUGGCGGCACCCCGACCUUCCGGAUCUUUCUCUUCGUCAGUCCGGCGGAGAGGAGUGGUAGAUUCGUCUCCUCUUGGGCAUCAUCGGCCAGAGAAGUUAUUUUUUUCAUCUAGGCCGACGGAUGGGGUAGGCGAAGAGGAGUGGCGGAUCCGCCUCGAUUGCGCUCUCCUUCGUUAUGCCCGCGUUGCUUCCAUUCUUGCGCUAGUGCUGCUGCUAUGGAGGGCUUGGUUUAAGGCAGAACUGAAAUCUCCCACGCGGUGGCAGCCAUGAGUAACGGCACGAUCUGGAGGGGAGUAGCAAUGGCGGCCUCUUCUUCUUCGCGCUUGGUGGCCUUGCGCAGCUCCGCCUCUUUUCCCGCCUCCAUCCCACGCGUGCAGCAUCCACACGCGUGCAGCAUCCACAUGAAGGCAAGCGAGCACACAUGAAAUAGACAUAUCAAGUGGAUUUUCUCUCACCUCAACGCUUACUGAAUUCAGUACCCGAAGAAGCCUAUUAUGCCACUCAUUUUGUACCACCAGUGUAAACAUUGAGAACUAUAUGAAUUGAUGCACCUUGUGGUCGGAAAAGAGGCUCUUGAUUGUGUGGAUAUUUUGCAGCUUUAGAAUUAUUUUAUUCUCGCCUUAUGGCAUCAAGGAGCACAACAUGGAUUGGAAAUAAAUGCCUUUUCCACAAGCCAACUGACUACAUAAAUUCUGGUGGUACCUGCCCGCCAACUCCAAAGCCUGUUCAAUUAAAAGUGGCUGCUCAACUUGGCCUCCUGUAGCACCUCAACCCUCACUUGCUACCUUCGCCCUGUCCACAUGCUUAAUUUAAACUAUCUUUCGUCUUAUGGUGCCCAUUGGAAAUCAUUUGUUGUAGUAUUAUUAUUUGCAGAUUCUUCACAUUAUCUACUUGACUUUGUGUGCAUGCUUAAUUCAAAUAUCUUUCAUGUUAUUGUCAAUUGUUUUCUAGCUAUAUAAUUAUCGGUCUUUUUAGUUUAAGUAGACCAUUACAUGUACAUAUGCAGUUCAGAGUUAUGACCUUAUAUGAAAAAUGUUGUUGCAUAGUGGACUCUAUUGGACCCACCUGUUGCAUGGUUUAUAUAAAUUAGAUACACUAAUUGCUGCUGUGCCAAAAUUACAGACGCCAUUUUGCCUUGCUGCAAGGACCACUUUAUAAAAAUCAAGGAUUGUUUGCAUGUAUGAUUCUUCAGGUCCGAUGUAAUGUGCACAACUCAUGCUGGCAGAGAAUAAAGGAGGGUUGUGGUUUCUGGAUGUUGAGACCUCCAGUUUUGGGGAAUGGUAAACUUUAAUUUGGAGAUGGUGUUUUCUAAUGUAUUUGUACAGUUAGAUAUCAUAUUAGAUUUUUUUCUCUUACUUGGAACUCCUGCCACGGAAAUCAUGUUGUCUUUGAUUUGGUGUGGUAGGUAUAUAAAAUAUACUGGCCGACUUCCUCCUCUCACGAACCACACUGACGCUAACUUUUGGUUUCUACCAUGUACAAGGGUUAUUUACUAUGGACGAAUAUGGAACGUCCAUUAGGAGUACAUGCUUUAUGACGCUAUGUCUCUGCUACAGUUAUGACACUGUUGUUGUACCUUCUACUACAUCUAUUUGAUGUAUAUGCUUUUGUAGAAUACUUGUUCCUGUAUUAUAUACUAAAUUUUCUUGUAUACUACUCCCUCCGUUCCUAAAUAUUUGUCUUUCUAGACAUUUCAAUAAGUGACUACAUACGGAGCAAAAUGAAUGAAUCUACACUCUAAAAUAUGUCUACAUACAUCCGUAUGUGGUAGUCUAUUUGAAAUGUCUAGAAAGACAAAUAUUUAGGAACGGAGGGAGUACAUGGCAUGGCUAUAAUUAGUAGCUGCACUACACUCCUGAAGCUUUUUUUAACUGUUGGGAGACACAGAAGUUUUUCAACCUUCAUUAAGUUUACAUAUAAAGAACUCUUCACUUUGAAGAUUUGAAAAGUUAUGUCAUGUGAUACAACCCUCGUUUCUAAAUGUGCUAUGAAAGUGUCUGAACCUGCAUUUUAUCUCAGAAUGGCAAAAUCACACCAAUAGAUCAUCAUUCAAACUAAACUGGACUUGAUUUCAUCCAUGCGCAAAACCUCCGUCGGGAAUUUAGCUCAUGGCUAAUCAAAUAGGUGAUUAUCCUUAGACUGUGUAGAGUACUGGAAAAUAGGAAAACACUAAAUAAUUAUUUUUGGGAACAUAUCUUCAGUUUGAAGUUUUGCCAUGGUGUUCCGCCAUUCAGGCAGGGUGGAGGCGGCACACACGGGCACCUCUGCUAGGCAGUCCACAGGAUGAUGGUGUGAUGCAUACGAGGAUAGUAGCGACGCCGGUGGAACCCCUCCCGGUCGAGUCCCCCACCCUGGUGGCUGCCUACACAAGGGGAUAGCUCGAGUGACCUCUCCCAGUUGGAGAUGCCGACACAGCUUCAGGUUUGACACAAAUAUGACAUCAACUGUGGCAGACGCAGUCUCCUCAAGCCAUGCCUUCCUCGGUGCCGACAGAUCUUACCACCAUCACCACCAUUGGGGGAGGCCCCUAAUUGAGAUGCAUCUCCGCCAGAUCGAGAGGCGACUGACCACACUAGAUCUAGAGUGGUUCAACAAAGAAGUUCAGGAGAUGGACAUGUUUUUCAAUUACUGUCUAUUGUAAUUCCAUUAAUUGGAGGUACUGACACUAUAAACAACAGAUUCUGGCAUAUUGAUUCAGAUUCUGGAUCAAUAUCAGGUGCCAGCGAUGUCGCUGAUGCGCUACUUCUAUUAUGCAACAAAGCAGGUCAUCUUAAAGGUAUCAAUACACUUCAAUAUCUAAAAUAAAUCCGAUAGCAAGUUGAGAGUUUUUUGGUUGUGAAUGAUUCUUAGCGAGAGUUCUAAUUUCUGAUUGCAUGCCGCCUUCAUUUGAUGUAUUUGAGAACUAUAGAGGUUCACUGAUAAAUCUGUUUACAAUUUUACUCCCCUAUUUUUUUUGCUCAUUGCAUGUCCAUUUUUCAAAAUUUGUAAUUUGGUGGUGUUUUAUUUCUUCUGCACAGGUUGCUAUUUAGACUGUCAUUUACUUAGCAGUUUCUGCAACUUUGCUGCUUCUAUCUGACUAGCGGUGUAAGGUGGCAUGUAUGUUGGCCAUCAGAACUUUCUUUUCAAAUAUGAGUGGUCAAUGUCAUUGGAUACACCUUUCAGGACUGGGAUAUACUCGAUUUGGGAGAACAUGGGCUUCUUGCUUCUCUUUCUAUCAAUUUACCAGCACAUAGAUCCCCCACUUCCCGUCAGAGCAAAGUGGCAUACCGAAGCUAAAGAAGAAAAUUUUAUAAGGACCAUGGAUAAAGUUAACACCAUCUUUUGUACCCAAUUUUUUUUGUUAUGUGGUGCCCAUGUUAUUAUAUAUUGUGAUGUGGCACUAUGUCUAAAAACACCAAAUUGUGACCACUAAUUUUUGUUAUGUUAUGAGAUUAUAAUUUAAUAUGUAUUUAUAUCA